rnacentral:tRNA from 1 species
GGCAAGGUGGCCGAGUGGUUAAGGCGUCAGAUUUAGGCAAAGGAAACUUUCCUCUCUGAUGGGAAACCGCGCGAGUUCGAAUCUCGUCCUUGUCA